rnacentral:rRNA from 1 species
GUGGGGAAUAUUGCACAAUGGGCGCAAGCCUGAUGCAGCGACGCCGCGUGAGGGAUGGAGGCCUUCGGGUUGUAAACCUCUUUUAUCGGGGAGCAAGCGAGAGUGAGUUUACCCGUUGAAUAAGCACCGGCUAACUACGUGCCAGCAGCCGCGGUAAUACGUAGGGUGCAAGCGUUAUCCGGAAUUAUUGGGCGUAAAGGGCUCGUAGGCGGUUCGUCGCGUCCGGUGUGAAAGUCCAUCGCUUAACGGUGGAUCCGCGCCGGGUACGGGCGGGCUUGAGUGCGGUAGGGGAGACUGGAAUUCCCGGUGUAACGGUGGAAUGUGUAGAUAUCGGGAAGAACACCAAUGGCGAAGGCAGGUCUCUGGGCCGUUACUGACGCUGAGGAGCGAAAGCGUGGGGAGCGAACAGGAUUAGAAACCCCGGUAGUCC